UUCAAACUUAAGAGUUUGAUCCUGGCUCAGAACGAACGCUGGCGGCAUUCCUAACACAUGCAAGUCGAACGUGAAGCUAUCUUC
rnacentral:rRNA from 1 species